CAUCCAGUCCUGGGCAAAUGAGAGCUCGGGCAUGCAGAGGAGGAGGGAGGUGCUUGAAGUUAAUGGAAAGGCUUUUACAGUUAUGGGACAGUUGUAGCUGGGAAUGAUACAUAAUAAUGAUGCCUGUUUAUGCCCACAUUUGCUGUUUUUUAGGUAGUAAGGACUUGUUGCUAUCCUUCCAUGGUACUUUUCUGAAUACAAUGCUGAAAAAUCUGAAUUUGUAGCACUUUUUUUUUCCCAGUUACAUCAAGAAAUGACUUGUGUAAUUUCUUGUUCUGGUAAAUAAUAAAUAAUCUUGCUUUUGUGAGUUUGGUUUCCAGCCAGGUAGAAAUGGGCUUCUCUUCCCUUACAGGCAAUCCUGCAUUUGCCAUUCUCCUGCAAAGGCUUGGAUCACCGGUGCUCUGCUGUGUGCUUUUAGGAAGAGCCUCCCCUUCCUGGCUGUGGCAAAGUCUUCCAGGCAGGAGGGUCUGGCUGGCCUUUCUCUGCAUCCAACUGUAUCUCCAGCUCAGACUUACUGCGGGGCAAGAUUCAACAGUCUUAGAGAUUCCUGACCCUGUGUCCAAGGCCAGGAAACUAUAGUUGAGCCAAAACCAUUGGCACCACUGCUUAGAGGUAAUAAAUACAUUCAUUCUUGUAAUACAUUUUUAUUGGCAUGAGCAAGGCUUAAUACAUACCACCUUGUUUUUUUCUGUGCCUGAACAAGGAAAAUUGUGCAAGUUGGACUUAGGAGUGAUUAAGAGACCUAAGCAGGUUGGACUGAUAAGAUCACAGAUUUUAUGACACUUUGCCAUUCUAUCAUCUUCUUUGAGCUCCUGUGUAGCACAGAUUGUAGAGCUUCAUCCUUUAUUCUUCUUAAGCCAAUGCAUUUUGUUAGAGUGAGAUUUUUCUCUAGAGGCUAAUGGUCAUUACUCUCUGGAUUUGAGUUCUCAUGGGCAUGUUGCAGAAUCACAAGCAGCUGGCUCAGAGCUUCUAAGGCAACUUCUGUUCCUGGUUCCAGAUCUGACAUUCCUGACACUUCUGUAAAAU
rnacentral:lncRNA from 1 species